rnacentral:rRNA from 1 species
UACAGAGGGGGCAAGCGUUGUUCGGAAUUACUGGGCGUAAAGGGCGCGUAGGCGGCCUGCUAAGUCGAACGUGAAAUCCCCGGGCUCAACCCGGGAACUGCGUCCGAUACUGGCAGGCUUGAAUUCGGGAGAGGGAUGCGGAAUUCCAGGUGUAGCGGUGAAAUGCGUAGAUAUCUGGAGGAACACCGGUGGCGAAGGCGGCAUCCUGGACCGGCAUUGACGCUAAAGCGCGAAAGCCAGGGGAGCAAACGGG